GUUGCUGAUUAACAGCGGCACGUAAUCGUUCUUGUAAUACGCUUGGAGAUAAUUUUGCCCAAGCAGCAGUUGGUGGAAGAGCAGAACUCUCUUCGUGAUGAAGAAUAGUUGUUGCAUGUCCAGGAACGACGUUUACAGAAGCAGCAGAAGAAUAAGGGGCAGGAACGCUGGUAGCAGUGUUAUUAGUGGAUAAGGAAGGUGUCAUUGACACUUGUGGAUGAACAUGAUCAACUGUUGUAAUAUGCUGAUUUUGUGCAGCUGGACUACUAUUAGCCUCUUCUAACGGUGUUUUCGUAACAGGAAGUAGAGGUGUUUUGAAUGGAAGAGAAGGAGAAGGAGAAUGAGUAGCACCAUUUACCACAUUAGGUUUAGUGGAAAGAGGACGGGUAUGUUGAAGAGAUGCCAAGUCUUCUUUAGUAUAACUAUCCACCUCGUCACCGGGUUCAUGUAAAUACAUGCAAGAAGGAUUGGGGCAUUGCUGAUUCCGUAAAUAAGAAGUGCAAU